UGGGGAAUUUUGGACAAUGGGCGAAAGCCUGAUCCAGCAAUGCCGCGUGUGUGAAGAAGGCCUUCGGGUUGUAAAGCACUUUUGUCCGGAAAGAAAUCCUUGGCUCUAAUACAGUCGGGGGAUGACGGUACCGGAAGAAUAAGCACCGGCUAACUACGUGCCAGCAGCCGCGGUAAUACGUAGGGUGCAAGCGUUAAUCGGAAUUACUGGGCGUAAAGCGUGCGCAGGCGGUUUGCUAAGACCGAUGUGAAAUCCCCGGGCUCAACCUGGGAACUGCAUUGGUGACUGGCAGGCUAGAGUAUGGCAGAGGGGGGUAGAAUUCCACGUGUAGCAGUGAAAUGCGUAGAGAUGUGGAGGAAUACCGAUGGCGAAGGCAGCCCCCUGGGCCAAUACUGACGCUCAUGCACGAAAAGCGUGGGGAGCAAACAGGAUUAGAUACCCUGGUAGUCACGCCCUAAAACGAUGUCAACUAGUUGUUGGGGAUUCAUUUCCUUAGUAACGUAGCUAACGCGUGAAGUUGACCGCCUGGGGAGUACGUCGCAAGAUUAAAACUCAAAUGAAUUGACGGGGUCAUAGCUGUUUCCU
rnacentral:rRNA from 1 species